AAACCGGGGCUAAUACCGGAUGGUUGUUUGAACCGCAUGGUUCAAACAUAAAAGGUGGCUUCGGCUACCACUUACAGAUGGACCCGCGGCGCAUUAGCUAGUUGGUGAGGUAACGGCUCACCAAGGCGACGAUGCGUAGCCGACCUGAGAGGGUGAUCGGCCACACUGGGACUGAGACACGGCCCAGACUCCUACGGGAGGCAGCAGUAGGGAAUCUUCCGCAAUGGACGAAAGUCUGACGGAGCAACGCCGCGUGAGUGAUGAAGGUUUUCGGAUCGUAAAGCUCUGUUGUUAGGGAAGAACAAGUACCGUUCGAAUAGGGCGGUACCUUGACGGUACCUAACCAGAAAGCCACGGCUAACUACGUGCCAGCAGCCGCGGUAAUACGUAGGUGGCAAGCGUUGUCCGGAAUUAUUGGGCGUAAAGGGCUCGCAGGCGGUUUCUUAAGUCUGAUGUGAAAGCCCCCGGCUCAACCGGGGAGGGUCAUUGGAAACUGGGGAACUUGAGUGCAGAAGAGGAGAGUGGAAUUCCACGUGUAGCGGUGAAAUGCGUAGAGAUGUGGAGGAACACCAGUGGCGAAGGCGACUCUCUGGUCUGUAACUGACGCUGAGGAGCGAAAGCGUGGGGAGCGAACAGGAUUAGAUACCCUGGUAGUCCACGCCGUAAACGAUGAGUGCUAAGUGUUAGGGGGUUUCCGCCCCUUAGUGCUGCAGCUAACGCAUUAAGCACUCCGCCUGGGGAGUACGGUCGCAAGACUGAAACUCAAAGGAAUUGACGGGGGCCCGCACAAGCGGUGGAGCAUGUGGUUUAAUUCGAAGCAACGCGAAGAACCUUACCAGGUCUUGACAUCCUUUGACAAUCCUAGAGAUAGGACGUCCCCUUCGGGGGCAGAGUGACAGGUGGUGCAUGGUUGUCGUCAGCUCGUGUCGUGAGAUGUUGGGUUAAGUCCCGCAACGAGCGCAACCCUUGAUCUUAGUUGCCAGCAUUCAGUUGGGCACUCUAAGGUGACUGCCGGUGACAAACCGGAGGAAGGUGGGGAUGACGUCAAAUCAUCAUGCCCCUUAUGACCUGGGCUACACACGUGCUACAAUGGACAGAACAAAGGGCAGCGAAACCGCGAGGUU
rnacentral:rRNA from 1 species